AUGAUUACACGAUUGCCAUCAUGGAUUUUGGUGAUUUGAGGCCCUCCCAAUUAGAUGAUACAUUUGAUGAUAAUCUUACAUGCCCACACUGUUGGAAAACAUUCACCCUACGGACCAAUUUAACUCGUCAUAUAAAGACUCAGCAUUCAGUAGGUAACUACAUUUGCUCCAUAUGCCAAAAGAUCUUUCAACGUUCCGAUAAACUGAAUAAUCAUAUGAAAGUUCAUGCUAGACCACCGAAGCCCUGGCCAUCUCGCCCAGUAAAACAAGCAGCAACAUCCCCCGCUAUGCCUGCCCGUAAACGACCACGACAAGAACGCCCGCCUUGCCUUGGUACCUUUGCUACGGAAAUCAUUUAUCCCAGUGAAGAAACCAAGACAGAUCUGCAAAUAUUUUUAGAGGCAAUAAAAUUUGAAAUCGCGGGUAAGAUUCAAGAAGCUGCCGCACAACACCAGGGAAUUAAAUGGUAUUUGAAUGCUUGUGUGCAAAUGAUCAGAAAAGUGUCGGAGACCGAGGAAGAAACUUGCACGGCCUACUUUCGAUCAAAGUGCAGUACUACCCUCACAGGAGAAAUACCUGAUAUACAGACAGCUAUUCAGAAAGUGCUGGAUUCUAUGGAUAAAUUUUUGAAAAAAGGUUCUGGACUCCGUGCAAUACCUGGAGCUCAAGACCGCUGUCUACAAACCCCUGGCAGCCUCUUCUUAUAUACCUCUGCCGAAAGCCUUAGCAGGUAAAAUGGCUGUUCUCAAUAUACAAAAUUAAGACCACAAAUGUCUCGUCUGGAGCGUGUUAGUAGCCCUUUACCCCAUCGAAGAUCAUAGAGAACAUGCAUAUAGAGUAUCUCACUACAAGCCCUAUGAAGGGGAAAUAAAAGUGGAUGGCUUGUCUUUUCCCACCCCCAUUCAUCAGCUAGACAAAUUUGAAAAAAUGAACAAUCUAUCGAUCAACGUGUUCGGUUGGGAAAGCAACGAGAUUUUACCUCUUCGGAUCACCAAGAGUCGAAACGGUGAUCGUCAUAUCAACCUCUUAUUAAUUUCGGAUGAUGAGAAGAGACAUUAUUGUCUUAUUAAGAACAUGUCUCGUCUUCUUGCCGGACUCACGAAAGAUCAGAAUGAAAAAUUUUAUUGUGACUAUUGCCUUCACAGAUUCAAAAGGAAGGAGACUUUGGACGCUCAUGUAAAAGACUGUCAAGUGCACGGUCCCCAAAAAAUUAAAAUGCCUAAAGAUAAGUGGUUGAAAUUUGACAAGUCCCAGUUCCAGCUUCCCAUCCCUUACUUUAUUUACGCCGAUUUUGAAUGCAUUUUAGUGAAGCAAGCCACCUGUUUGCCACUGUUUUCCAUCAAGGUCUUCAACUACUCCUGUUGCCAACCAUACAGCAUCCGGAUAUUGUUAUACUAUUAUUGGACCGAAUGGUGAAUUUUAUAAAGCUCCAGUAUCUACCGAGGAAGAGAUGCCGUCGACCAUUUCUUAGCUGCUCUUAUUCGUGAGGAAGAGAAUUUAACAGAACUACUGAAGACAAAUGAACCAAUGAUGUUCACCAAAGAAGACCAAGUUAUGUAUGAAACAGCCACUCAUUGUCAUAUUUGUGGGCAGGCUCUGAAAGGUGAUAAGGUCCGUGAUCAUAAUCAUCUGACAGGUCAUAGAGCCAGCUUAGAGAAGCUCGUUGCGAAUCUAGAAAAGGACCAAUUCCAUCUCACACGGGCCUAUUUUGGAGAGAAAACGAAUCUUCUGCUUAGAAAAGGUGUCUAUCCUUAUGAAUAUAUUGAUGACUUUCUCCCGUUUCGAUGAGUCUGAACUACCUCCACCAUCUGCAUUUUAUUCCAAUCUCGCAGAACAACACAUCAGCGAGGAAGAUUAUACGCAUGCCAUGACCAUUUGGAAAACCUUUGGUCUUACCAGUCUUGGUACAUACCAUGAUUUGUAUGUGGUUUGUGAGGUCCUUCUCUUAGCCGAUGUCUUUGAAAAUUUCCGCCGCCUGAGUCUCAACUUCUAUCAAUUCGAUCCAGCACAUUUUUACACUGCUCCAGGAUUAGCUUGGCAAGCUGCUUUGAAGAUGAGUGGAGUUAGCCUGGAACUAUUAAUGGACCUGGAUCAGCAUUUGUUUAUUGAGCGGGGAAUUCGUGGUGGCAUCUCAAUGAUAUCACAUCGUCUGGCUGUUGCUAAUAACAAAUACCUACCGAACUACGAUCCAAAGGAACCUUCUAACUAUAUCAUUUAUUUAGAUGCUAACAACCUUUAUGGGUGGGCGAUGAGUCAGUCACUUCCUACGCACGGGUUCGAAUGGGUGAAUGAACCCAUCGAUUACAUGAAUAUCUCGGACGAUGCAGAUGAGGGCUACAUCUUAGAAGUAGACUUAGAAUAUCCGGCAGAGCUGCAUGACCUCCAUAAUGAUUAACCUCUUGCACCAGAACAGAUGCAAGUCACUGAGAAAAUGCUGUCUAAUUAUUCUCAAAAUUUAGCAAAGAAGUUCCAACUCAUCCUUGGUAAGAGUGUGAAGCUAGUUCCAAAUCUUUUCUCUAAGCAACGUUACGUCCCCCAUUACAGAAACUUAAAGUUAUAUGUGUCCUUGGGUCUCCAAGUCACUAAAAUUCAUAGAGUACUUAAAUUCAAACAAUCUCCAUGGUUAAAAAGUUACAUCGCAUUUAACAGAGAGCAACGGAAACGGGCCAAAACAAGCUUCGAAAAAGAUCUUUUCAAGCUUCUUAACAAUGCUGUUUUCGGAAAAACAAUGGAAAAUUUUCGAAAAAGAACACGAAUUGAUCUAGUUACGGAGGAGAAGAAAGCUAAAAACUUGUGGCUUCACCAAGUUUCUAUGCAUUUCAUCAGAUCACAGAAGAACUAGCAGUUAUAGAACGUAGGAAAAGUUCUCUGGUACUGAACCGCCCUCUUUACACGGGUUUCUGUAUUUUGGACAUAUCAAAAACCCUCAUGUACUCGUUCCAUUAUGAGUAUAUUAAACCUAAGUAUGGAGCUAAGGCCACAUUACUUUUUACCGAUACAGACAGCCUCUGUUAUGUGGUGGAAACUAAAGAUAUCUAUGCGGAUAUGAAGAAAGAUCUCCACCUCUUUGAUACAUCUGAAUAUCCGCAAGAUCAUCCUCUCUUUAGCUCAAUAAACAAGAAAGUGCUUGGGAAGAUGAAAGACGAGUUAGCCGGUGAUAUCGCUCAAGAAUUUGUGGGACUUAAACCUAAGAUGUACAGUCUUCUGAGUAGUUUCACUGAAAAGAAGACGGCCAAAGGUGUUGCCAGAGGUAUUGUAAAAAAUCAUAUUCGUCAUACGGACUAUAAGCAGUGUCUCCUUCAUAACAAUCGUGGACUCACCCCAGCUCAACGAAUAGCCAGUAAAUGGCAUAAAUUACAAACUGUACAUUAUACUAAAUCAACAUUAUGUCCUUUCGAUACGAAACGGUAUAUUUUGGACAAUGGGAUUUCAACACUUGCCCAUGGGCAUUAUAAAAUUAGUAUAUAAAAAUUGCUCUAUUUCUUUGUAAAUAAUAUAUUUUUCUCAUUUUGUUUCGUAAUUAUUUAUCAUGUACAUAUUCUUUAGCAGCUAUUGUAUAUAAUCAACAUUGAUGAGUUUAAUAAUAUUUAUUCUAGCCAAAUUUUUUUUUCUGUAUAAUUGUUUGAAAAAUUAGAAAGCAAAAUAAUCUAUAUGUUAUGAAGAGAAAUUGAUAAAGAUUUUCUAAGUAUUUAAUAAACAUUAUAUUUUUCACUGCAUGAACUGUAUAGUUUUUCUUUAAAAAAUUACAUUUUCCAAAAGUAUUAAUGAAAUCUGAAUUUUACGUGAAUCAUUAAUCGAUUAUUUCACAAAAGUGAGCAACAGCUAUAAAUAGAAUUGUUUUUCGAAUAAGACUUUAGUUAAGAUGGAACUCUUAAAAUUAAAGCAUCCUUUUACGAUGUUAGCUGCUGGUCCUAGUGGUAGCGGAAAAACCAUGUUUAUUAAAAAAUUAAUGGACCAUCAAAUGAUCACUCCUUUUCCUCCUAAAAUUAUUUGGUGCUAUGGUGCUUAUCAAAGUCUUUACGAUGAGAUGAAUCAUAUCGAAUUUUGUGAUGGUUUGCCUGAAAACAUCCACACUUUAUCAAAUUCUCUGAUUAUUAUUGAUGAUCUUAUGUCGGAACUCGGAAAUGAUGUAAGAUUGACCAAGUUAUUUACCAAAGGAUCUCAUCAUCGAAAUCUUAGUGUUAUUUUCAUUGUACAAAAUUUGUUUCAUAAAGGUAUUCGGGAAAUGUCUUUGAACGCUAAUUAUUUAGUGCUCUUUAAAAAUACAAGAGACAAGUCUCAAAUUAUGCAUCUGGGAAGGCAGUUAUAUCCAGGAAAGAACAAGUUUUUUCAAGAAGUGUAUCAGGAUGCUACAUCUAAACCUUACAGUUAUUUACUGGUUGACCUCAAAUCUGACUCCAUGCGUCUGAGAACAGGGCUUUUUCCAAACGAUAAAUACUACGUCUAUCAACCUCGCUAGUCAUUUGCUGGUGAGCUGUCAACGAGUGAACAUGUCUGUGGUGAUCGAAGUUUUCCAAAAAUAUACGAGAAAAGAAGUGAUUAAUUUGGAUGAUAUUAACUGUCCCCGUUUUUGUGACCUACCUCCAGGAGAAAUAGUCUGCCCUUAUUUGCAUGUGAAGAAUUUUUCACACUGUGCUGUGCAAAAAGCCGACGCUUAUGCAUGCUUCGUAGACUCUAUAAAAGCCAAACAUUUUUCUUUCCUGUCAUUUGUGUACAAAAUGUCGAACUGUUCACAGCACCAGUUAGAACAGUUGAAACUCAUCGCGAAAAGUAAAUUUUCAAGUGAUUUGCUUCGAAAGUGCCCCAAUAGUGUCAUAAAAACUAUAUGCGAGUGUGCCUUAAACUUGCUUCGAGGUCAUCUUUCCAUUUCCCCCAAGCGAAAGGCUCAAUUAGCACCUUACAAGCGAAGUUUACGAAAACUUGCCAAUAAAAAAGUACCUCUUUAUAAGAAAAGAAGCCUGCUUGUACAAAGAGGGGAAGGUUUCCUAAGUGUACUCUUACCUGCUGCUAUUUCUCUCAUUAAUUCUCUUAUUCAUGGAGUUCAGUAAAAAAACUUCUCAUUGUACCAGAAGAAAGAAGGCAAACGGUCUUACCGAACUGCAUGAAAAAAUGGAUCGAAUUUUAAAGAAGAAAGACCUUGAUGAAAGUGAGAAAGCAGCUUUAUACCUGCAAGUGCUCCAAAAAUAUAUUACGUAUCAAUUAUACCACCCGUUGAAAAAACAGAGAAAUCUAUGGAAAAGAAAGAAGACACUUUGGUGAAGAAAGAAGAAAUUCCUAUGGAAGAUCCAUUUGAGAAAAAAGUUGUGAAUGUGGCUCCUUUAAAAUACAAGUCUCAAGCAAAAGACAUUUAUCCUCAUGUGAAGAAGCAUAUUUCAGCUGGAGGUGAACUCAUUUAUCAGAAUCAAGUCGUUCCAGGGACUGAUGUUGUGACUCUCAUUAAUAAUUUUUUAAGAAAAAGAAAAAACCUGUUGUUGGCGAAAACCAAUUUUAUGCUGUGCUAAAAGAAUUAGGUUUACCUACUAUGUAUGAUGUUCAUAACAAAUUAAAUGUCAUGUAUGC